rnacentral:rRNA from 1 species
AGCAGCCGCGGUAAUUCCAGCUCCAAUAGUGUAUAUUAAAGUUGUUGCAGUUAAAAAGCUCGUAGUUGAAUUUCGGGAUCAGUUUGUUGGUCGUGCUUCGGUACGUACUGUCAUUACUGGUUUCUCCCUUCUGAAGAACCUUGAUGUCAUUAAUUUGGUGUCUUGGGGAAUCAGGACUGUUACUUUGAAAAAAUUAGAGUGUUUAAAGCAGGCAUACGCUUGAAUACAUUAGCAUGGAAUAAUGAAAUAGGACGUUUGAUUCUAUUUUGUUGGUUUCUAGGAUCGACGUAAUGAUUAAUAGGGAUAGUUGGGGGCAUUAGUAUUCAAUUGUCAGAGGUGAAAUUCUUGGAUUUAUUGAAGACUAACUACUGCGAAAGCAUUUGCCAAGGAUGUUUUCAUUAAUCAAGAACGAAAGUUAGGGGAUCGAAGACGAUCAGAUACCGUCGUAGUCUUAACCAUAAACUAUGCCGACUAGGGAUCGGAUGAUGUUAUUUUUAAUGACUCAUUCGGCGCCUUACGG